rnacentral:rRNA from 1 species
AACGUAGGUGGCGAGCGUUAUCCGGAAUUACUGGGCGUAAAGGGCGCGUAGGCGGCCUUCUCAGUCAGACGUGAAAUCCCCAGGCUUAACUUGGGAACUGCGUCUGAUACUGGAAGGCUUGAGUGCGGGAGAGGGAUGUGGAAUUCCAGGUGUAGCGGUGAAAUGCGUAGAUAUCUGGAGGAACACCGGUGGCGAAGGCGGCAUCCUGGACCAUAUCGACGCUGAGGAGCGAAA